GACGGGGGAUUGAUCUCCCAAGGGAGGUCCCCUGAUCCGAGUCAUGGCACCAAAUUUCAUGCGCGUCCGUGUGAAGAGACCACCAAACAGGCUUUGUGUGAGCAGUAAAGCUGUUUAUUUCACCUGGGUGCAGGUGGGCUGAGUCCGAAAAGAGAGUCAGCGAAGGGAGACCCCGUCUCUACUAAAAAUACAAAAUUAGCCAGGCACGGAGGCGCAUGCUUGUGAUCCCAGCUACCUGGGAGGCUGAGGCAGGAGAAUCACCUGAACCCAGGAGGCAGAGGUUGCGGUGAGCCGAGAUCGUGCUAUUGCACUCCGGCCUGGGCAACAAGAGUGAAACUCCAUCUCAAAAAAAAAAAAAAAAAAAAAAAAAAAAAAAAUGAGGUGGUCACCCUCCACAGACAAUGGAAAUGAGUCUGCAGGUUCCAAGACCGUUGUACUCCACAGUCAUGCUCUGACUGUAAGAUCUUCUACUAAAAACAAAAUUCUGUGGACCUAAGCGACUAGCUGUGUACGAGGCUCUGGGAACACACAGUGAGCAGCACAAGCAGUCCUGCCUUGGGAGGCCUGGUCUAGAGGCUGCACGU
rnacentral:lncRNA from 10 species